ACAGACUGCAACUUGAAAUGCUGGGGACAACACAGGAAACAAAUACCCGAGGGCCCUGAAAAGCAAGAAAGUCAAGGUCCUUGCUGUGGACAUGUUGCCUGCCAUUCUGGUAAGCAGUGAAUGUUACCCGCCAUCAAGUCAUCAGCCACUGCAACCACCAGGAUGCAAAAUCUCCUGUAGAUCCUGGCUCCUCCCCUACCUCUUUGGAGCAGUUCCGCAGAGCUAUCUGAGAAGCUGCC